GGAAGGUCCGGGCGUUAUCCGGAUUUAUUGGGUUUAAAGGGAGCGUAGGCCGGAGAUUAAGCGUGUUGUGAAAUGUAGACGCUCAACGUCUGCACUGCAGCGCGAACUGGUUUCCUUGAGUACGCACAAAGUGGGCGGAAUUCGUGGUGUAGCGGUGAAAUGCUUAGAUAUCACGCAGAACUCCGAUUGCGAAGGCAGCUUACUAAACCAUAACUGACACUGAAGCACGAAAGCGUGGGGAUCAAACAGGAUUAGAUACCCUGGUAGUCCACGCAGUAAACGAUGAUUACUAGGAGUUUGCGAUACAAUGUAAGCUCUACAGCGAAAGCGUUAAGUAAUCCACCUGGGGAGU
rnacentral:rRNA from 1 species